GCUUUGUUCUAUUUGUUGGUAUCACUGUAUUUGAAAAGAAACGCAGUUUGGCAGCCUGCGAGUAAUAUUGUGUAUCAGAAAAGUACUACAGGAAUCAUUAACGCUAUGUCACUGUCGUGGUUCUUUAGUAAUAAGAAGAAGACUUCUGAUACAGAGCUACCAGAGAAUGCUACAGAGUCACAUAGUGAUGACUACGUUUUUGUAGAUAAAAAAGAAGAUACGCAAAGUGACAGCAGAUAUGGUGGACACUGCCACUACCCCGAAUUACCGUAUUCACUUGUUCCAGACUCUAGUAAAGCUCCCCCGAAUUCUUCCACUAAUAGCACAUUGAACGUUCCUCAGAAUCAAAAUUUUCUAUAUGGAGUACCAUUUAAGCUAACAGUAGAUAACGGUUCGUUUAUAUAUAAUUCAGUGAAUGGAAGUAGGAUUCAUGCUAAUGACGUCUUAUCACAUAUAUUGCAGUUAAAUUUGGAAUCAUUUGAAUAUGAUUUUCAGGUAGAAAAAAGUAUGGUGCUCUAAGUUUGAGAUAUUAGGGUUAAUCAGAAGCACACUGUUCUUUUAGCAACUUUUUCAGAUUUUUCAGCUAGUGGAUGAGUAUAGAGAUGUGUUAAUUGCACAGAAUAUAAAAUUAGCAUUAGAGGGCUGUGAGAACUCGAGAUUCUCAACACCGUGCUGAAAAUUUCAGGUUUGAGAUGAGCGAGAUGCAUUGCAGAUUUGUCUGCAUACCAUUCGCUUCUCUCAUCUCUGACAAAUAAAAUGUUGUUAAUGUAAAGAAUACCAGACUCCCAUUGUGGUUCCAAUCCUACAUUAAACUUUGCCAGCUACUAUCAUCAUAAUGGCAUCCACCUGUUGAGAGCCCAUGCUGAAGAAUUUGACUCUUCCUAUUCCAGAGGUUGGCACAGGCAAAAAACAUCAACCUGAAGAUAAUUGAAGGAUUAGCCAUGACACAGCUUAACUUAGCUUUGUUUCUUUGCCUGUCAUGCUACAAUAUCUGCUGCUUUUUCAUUUUGUUGCUUUCAUAAGCACAGACUAUUCAUGAGGACCACAGGAAUAGCUCAAUGAAGAGAGUGGCUGGGCAGGAAUUUCAUGUUCACCGCUGCAUUCAAACUAGCUAUGUGUGCAGUUUUACUUCCAUUCCUUCACACAUCAUAAUGUGACACUGAAGCAGUGAUUUAUUUGAUAUGUAAUAGCAUUAAUGUACCUGAGAAAGUGGUUGGACCCUAUAGCACAUAGUGCUCAUGUUAUUGUUUUUACUGGAACUGAAAAAGUUUUACUAAAUGUGCUCAGAUGUCAGUCAGAUUCUUACUGUGUGUUUUAAAUGAUUUAUUUUGUAAAUGUGUUUUUCAUGAUUAAACUGAGUUCCAAGAUA